ACGGGCUCAUUUUUGGCUGCACUACUUUUCUGUUUAUCUUCCUGAUUAGUUGUGAAUUCUUCUUCCAACUCCGAGUCUUCCUAGCCUGUGGGUUCCGCUUGUCUUCUUGGAUUAGAUUCUCUUCAAGACCAGGACCCCUGGAAUCCCAGCUCCAUUCCCAAGGUCCGAGAGACUAAACCAUGUCAAGCGUGUUGUGAGACCCCUGCCCAGUGUAUGCACACCAAGCCUCAACUCGAUGCUUCAGAAUUUCUACACUAAUUGUUCACUGUUGACUGCUCUUUUUGGCACACCGUGUAGAUUCUUGUUUGGACACUAUGAGAUGUACUGGAAAUGUCUCCUUAAAUUAGAAGAUAACCCACAACUUGGAUGACUCACAGUUGAAAUUGUUAUUAAGUGUGCCCUAUUACAGAUGAGACGAAAUGUCUUGUUUAAUAUUUAUUGUACAGCAAUAAUAUAUGUGCUUGAAAAUAUCUCAAUUAGGACUUGGCAAAAAAUACUUAUAAUAGAACCAUAUCCAACCAUGUAAUAAUUAUACCUAGAUGAAUCCCAGCUCUGUUUUAUUUCAAUAUUUGGCAGUAUAUACAUACGUAUUAACUCUUGUGGUUUUCCAAAAAUCUCUAAACAAUAAGCAAAUUAUCAAGUUG